rnacentral:RNase_P_RNA from 1 species
CAAGCAAGCCAGACGGUCGCGUGCGGCCGGGCCGCACGAGGAAAGUCCGAGCUCCGUAGAGCAGGGUGCUGGGUAACACCCAGUGGGGGUGACCCCAAGGAAAGUGCCACAGAAACACACCGCCGGAUUUUGCCGGUAAGGUUGAAAUGGUGAGGUAAGAGCUCACCGGCAGUCGGGUGACCGGCUGGCCGCGGUAAACCCCAUCUGGAGCAAGACUGCAUAGGAAGGCGGGGCGCCCUCGAGGCGCCUAAAGGCUGCUCGUCUGAGUCCUUCGGGUAAGGUCGCUAGAGGUGCCGGGAGACCGGCAUCGUAGAUAGAUGAUCGUCGCCCAUCGGGUCGCGAGGCCCGGCGGGAACAGAACUCGGCUUACGGCUUGCUUGGACC